AGGAUGGGGCCUCAGCGUCGCCUCGUGGCGCGAGCAGGGACGCCGCCAGGGGUGGAAAGCCAAGGCGGGCCGCCAUCCCAAGGUUCCCCCGUUGCAAUGUACUGUGCCUCACCACACUCAGUGGCUUGUUUUCUUUUUCUCACUCUCGUUUCAGCCUCGCGAAGCAGCCCUGAGAGAACGAGCAAGGAGCCCCACGAGAGUCGCGCAUGCUGGACGGGGGAUUGUUGUGAGGAUUUCUAGAGCUCCCCACACAGCUCUGAGAGGCAACCUCCCCUGGGAAAUAGGGGCUGCCUCGAAAGAGCACCUUGGUGCUUCAGUGGCAACGUGGUAGCCUGUAAAUGUACCCCCAACCCUGUGAGGAGGCUCCUUUGUCUGGCCGGUGGUGGCUCCCUAAAAGAGCCUUUAAGUCUUUAAUAGCAAUUCUGUGGCUGGCCUUGGGUGUUUCCAGGGUUUUAUUAUGGAUGGCUUUCCACUCCCAUUAUCUCUAUAUGCUGCUUGGAAUAUUGUUUAAAUACAAACUUAUAAUAUUUGUGAAAAGUAAAACUAAAAUAGGCUUUAAAUAGGAUAAAAUCAAAUAAGCAGAGAAUAAAAUCUUGAAUAGGAUAAAAUCUAAAAAACAGUGAGCUAGUGCAGUAUAAUAAAGGAAAUAUAGGUCAUUAAUAUAACAGGGAAAGUUAACAGAAAAGUGUGAAGCAUUCUAAAAGCAGGUUAGGUAUUUUAGAACAACUAGUGUAUUAAAAUAAUAUUCAAAAUAGCAUAUGGAAAUAAUGAAAAAGCGUAUCCAUAAUAAAAGCCUGAAACCCCAAAAAGCAUAAGAUUUAUUCCUCAAAGCAGUCCCUAAGAUGGCUUGGCUGUAGCCCCUCACAGCUAGAUUGGAUGCCCUGACGCGUAUUGCUCAGAGCAGCCCACAAAGGAGCUAGAGCAUGACUUUCUUAUAUGGACUCCAUGUUUUUGCUUUGAAGAACCCUUAAUUUAGCUAGAGAAUAGCUUUCUCAUUCUAGACUGUAUCUCAUUGUUCUACAUGGCCUCAUUAAGUUGUAAUGUGCCUUUCUCCUAGAUUUUGCACUUUUGCUCUAAGAAUCCCCUCAUUUAGCUGGUGGGUGUUGAUGUCCAAUCCUUUCUGUGUAACCUUACUUUUCAUCCUCUGAAUAGUGGUGAGAUGGCAUAUCUGACUUGCACAGAUGAUCAGCUUGGUCUGCCCUGCCUGUGGAGGAAGCAAGGAUAGUGGAAAUGCAGCAUCCUUGACCUCUUCAAGCAGUGUGGUGUGCUGACCAGGCUUGGCUGGCUGAAGGGACAUGGUGAUGAGGCAAGGGAACAAGUCCUGAAGGCUUAAGAUUUGAGGAGGAAAAGGGAAGAAAAAACAAAGCAGUACAGAAGGAGGAAGAAAAACAAAUAGAAAGGAGAAACAAGAGGAAACAAAAGGGAAGAAGUAGGAAGAGGGAUUGUUUUAAAAAAUGCUUGACAGAAAAAUCAGGCAGGUUCUGCUUCUACAAACUGGAAGGCUUAAUUACUGACUUCCUCUCUGCCAUGUAUCACUCUUGAGUUCCUGGAGCCUGGCUUGCUUGUGCUGGACUCAAAGUACAUGCACUUCAGAACCUCUGAAAAUGUGGGAACAUGUCCUUAGUGGCCAUGCAUGGGGAAGCCCCUAACAGGGCUGGAGUGUGGCUAUCUACUGCAGGACUUCACGUCUUGGCCCUGGGGAGCCCUACAAUUGUGGGAACGCGGCCUCUUUUUUUAUUCUUAUUAUUUUUACAUUUCUAGCCCGCUCUUCUUCCAAGGAGCCCAAAGCGGUGUACCACAUACUUGAUUUUUUCCUCACAACAACCCUGUGAAGUAGGUUACGCUGAGAGAGAAGCGACUGGCCCAGAGUCAUCCAGCUAGUAUCAUGUCUGAAUGGGGAUUUGGACCCAAGUCUCCCCGGUCCUAUUAACUAGGGAACCCCUGAUUUGGCUGUGGUGCUGGACUUCAACUCUUUGCACUGGGGAGCCCUGCAACUGUGGCAAGUGUCUGUAUACUGGUGAAGCCCUGAUUUAGCUGGGGAUCGGCUUUCUCGUGCUGGACUUCGUGUCUCUGCACUGGGGAGCCAUACAAAUAGUGAGAGCGUGGCCCUCAUAGGGGGCCGUACAAGGAGCAGAGCCCCCAUUUCGGCUGAGGUGUGGCUUUCUCGUGCUGGACUUCACGUCUUGGCCCUGGGGAGCCCUACAAUUGUGGGAGCGUGGCCUCUUUUUUUAAUUUUUAUUAUUUUUACAUCUCUAGCCCGCUCUUCUAUCGAGGAGCCCAAAGCGGUGUACCACAUACUUGAUUUUUUCCUCACAACAACCCUGUGAAGUAGGUUAGGCUGAGAGAGAAGCGACUGGCCCACAGUCACCCAGCUAGUAUCGUGUCUGAAUGGGGAUUUGGACCCAAGUCUCCCCGGUCCUAGUAAACUUGGGAACCCCUGAUUUGGCUGUGGCGGCGGUUUCAUGUGCUGGACUUCACGUCUUUGCACUGGGGAGCCCCACAAUUGUAAGUAUGGCCAUCAUAGUGGCUGUAUACUGGGGAACCCCGAUUUGGCUGAGGAGCGGCUUUAUCAUGCUGGACUUCAUGUCCUGGCACUGGGGAGCCCCGAAAAUGGUGGGAGCAUGGCCUCCUCAGCCGAGCCUGAGUGUCUGUAUGCUGCGUGGCUGCUCAUUUAUCUGCAGGGUGCCGUUCCUCGCUGUGUGACUUCACCCUUCAUCUUGCGAGUGGUGAUGAGUUGGCAUCUCCCAACUGCCCUGUCCCUAGUCUUCAGCUUGGUGCGCCCUGCCCACGAGAAAGCCAGGGACGGUGGAAGUGCGGCAUCCAUGACCUCUUCAAGCAGCGUGGUGUGCCGAGCGGGCCCUGCUGGCUGGCUGAAGGCACACGAAGGCAGUGGGGAGCAAGGACAGAAAAAAGAGGUGCAGAAGGAGGAAGAGAAACAAGCAGGAAGACGCCAGCGGAGACGUGAAAAGAAGCAGGAGGAGACCGGCUCUCCAGGAGCUUAGCAGAAGAAACGGGCAGGCUGUGCUUCCACCAGGCGGACGGCAUCAUUUCUCUCUCUCUCUCGGCCACUGAUCACUCUGCGUGGGGCUGCAGAUGGCCCUGUAGCGUGGCAUUCCUCGUGCUGGACUUCAUGUCUUUGCACUAAGGAGCCCUGACAGGGGUGGGAGUGCGGCCUUCUCAGGCUGCCCCGAAUCUCUCUGCACUGAGUCUCUUGCAAUUGGGUGGGAGGUGGCUUGCUCAUGCUGGACCUGAAGUAUGUGCGCUGAGCCGCCCCUGGUCGGGGCCGGGGGCGUUGCUUUCUCAUGCUGAGCUUGAUGCAUGUGCGCUGAGCUGCCCCUGGCUGGGCUGGCCUGGGGGUGUUGCUUCCUCGCGCCGAGCCUUAUAGGUAUGUGCGCUGAGCCACCCCUGGUCGGGGCUGGGGGUGUUGCUUUUUGCUGCCAGGCCUUAUGUCUGUGCACUGAGCCGCCCCAGUGAGGGCUGGGGGCGUUGCUUCCUCGCGCUGUGCUUCACGUCUUUGCUCUGAGAAGCUCCUCAUUUGGCCGGGGGUGGCUCUCUCCAAUCCUUGCUACAUGACUUUGUCCUUCAUGCUCUGAGUGGUGUUGAGCUGGCCACUCCGCCCUGCCCACG